UCAUUGAAUGGCUGAAAUAUAAGCAUUGGUCUCUUAAACCACACAAUAGUUACUACUUUCAAUGAA
rnacentral:tRNA from 1 species